GGGUCCCUCAAGCAACUCUGGUGAGUCUAUCUUUAUGGAAAAAUCUAGGGAUGCCUAGGCAAAAAUGCAACAGGUGGUAGAGGGUUAUUUUGCCGUAUUAUAUAUUUGCACUGCUACAAUUAGGUCUCGAACCGACUGGACCAAUAGGUUGAAUUGGUCCAUUCCAACAACAGCUCCAGAUGGUGGAGUGGCCGGUAGAGGUACUUUCAAUGACAAUGUCUAAG
rnacentral:lncRNA from 1 species